AUGCAUCGUAUCGUCAGACAUCGUAUCGAUUGUCCUGCCACCCUCCAGUGCAGAGAUCUCCUCAAAGAAGACAGCGACACUGGUGUGUGUGUGGCCAACAAGGGCUUCCCGUCAGACUGGAGCCUGAGCUGGAAGGUGGACGGGAGCAGCAGGUCUCAGGAGAGCAGCGCUGGGCUCCUGGAGAAGGACGGUCUGUACAGCUGGAGCAGCAGCCUGACUCUCUCUGAGCAGGAGUGGAUGGAGAGCGUCUCAGUGAGCUGUGAGGCCACACGGAGCGGCCAGCCUGCGCUCACUGGACACGUGACCAGACAUCAGUGUUCAGAGUAGAUCUGCUGCUCUUCUCACUCAUGUCUCACAUGGAGACUAACAGCACAUGAGCGACUCCUUCAUUCUCCACAUCCAGCUUCAGUCGCUCUCAUCUGCAUCUGCUCUGCUUUGCGUGUCUCAAA